CGGGCGGGCUCCCGGCUUUCAGGCUCCGCGCAGGCUACCGGGCGGCAGGGCGCAGACGAGGUGGCGAAGGCGGCGAGCGCGGGGGCGCGGGAAUCCCGGCCAGGCCCAGGGACCAGAGGGCGCUCCCUCCCAGCGCCUGGACCCGGGUGGAGCCAGAGGAGCCAGCAAGUCCGGACUCGCUGAGGGGGCUCCACGCGGGUCCUCCUUCACACAGGGCCCCCAGGUCUCUUAGACUCAUUCAGGAAAAGCACAAGACAAAGCAUCGCAUCCCGAGCUCUGCCGUGGACCGCAAGGCCGAAGCUGCGUCUCUGCAGACCUGCGGUGUUGACCUGCAUGCGACUUCCUCCAUUCACCUCAGCACCUGUGGCCUUUGCGGGGGGCGAUUCUCCAGGUCCUGGAUCAGCCCCCUUAACAGAAGGCCAGCCCAGCCCUGGAGGGGGGCGCGUCCCCUCCCGCCCCAGCAGAGCUGCCGGCCCCUUUGGAUCUUUUUGCGGUCUGGGCUUGCUGUUCCUCUCUACAGUAGUCAGGAAGCCCUUACCCCAAAAAGUAUCUGCGGGAGGCCUUGUCUACAGAGAGGACACCACCCCAUGGGCUCCAGGUAGGUCACACACCAAACCCACAAGACAGCAAGCGGAGCGUUUAACCUGGCCAUCCCUUGGAGCUGCUGGGUGA
rnacentral:lncRNA from 9 species